rnacentral:lncRNA from 1 species
GGGUGCGGGCAUUCAUGUGCGGGUGUGGGUGCGGUUGAUGUGAGCAGGUGCAUGUGGGCACAGGACUUGCGAGCGCGAGGGCACUAUGUGGGUGUAGUUUAAACCAGCUAGGACGUGACACAGAAGGGCCUCAGGUUUUUUAAAAGAGUUUUAAGAGAGGGCGGCUAAACUUUGUGAGACUUGGAAAGAGGGGAGGCGUGAGAGAAACCAAGACUCGAGGCACCUAGGAUUUGAGAAGGUCUUCAAGACUAUAAAAAUUGGUGUGGGGUGGCCCA